ACAGGUCCAUCAUGCACUGCGCAGUCGGAUCUACUGAUUGAUUGGUGACAUCCAUCAGCGGAUCCCGUGUGUCUCCAGCAUUUUAUGAAUGUGGGAUCUCUAGCUGGAGAGACGAAAUGGCUUCAAGUGGGAGGCCGUUGGCGGACCUGUUGCGCGAUGUGGCUGACCAGCUCGAAAGAACAUCGGGUGGUUCAUCAAAUUCAUCACCUCAGCCGCCAGAUAGGCCUAAUGUUAACGUUACACCCACCGUUACACCCAGACACCCAGUGGACGCCGAGGUUUCAAGACUGUUUGGCCCAUACGCAUGUGGAGGGAGAAGGUUGACAAUGCGGCGAUCCACUGCUGCACCCGUACAACUUCACUCAUACACCCAUUUAUUCUGUUGUCUUGACGAUAAAAACGUGGAGUUAGUCCCCAAUCGAUGUGUUAAACAGAGGCUCGCUGCUGCAGGGUUAGGGGAGAAACGUCUUACAUUUCAAGGUAUUCAGACAAAUCCAGAGGAGUUCAGAGAAUUCCUUUUAGCGGCAUAUCCUAAGCUCAGACAGGGGGGAGGAUUUGAACUGCUAAAAAUAUCUGGAACAACUCGGAGUCGUGAACUGGUCCUCAUCCCCUGUCCCAGUGAUGGCUACCAUGUCCGAUAUCUAAAGGAACCACAAACUCAGAUUGGUCAUGCAACAAUUUUUAUCCGACCACUUCAGAGGAAUCUGAAUCUGGAUCCUAUAUGUGGACCAGAAUGCAGCAGUGAGCUGGUUGGGCCAGUCCAGAAAUGUGUGACUUGUGGAGAAGAAUUCUCUUUUUCAAGUAUUAAGGCUCAUAGUGAUGAAUGCAUGAGGAGAUCCAGCAAUUGGUGAUGGCGUGACUCGCCAUUUCUUUGCAACAAUCAUGUCCAAACUUCAGCAUGGUUUUGAUGUCAGUUUUGGUAAGCUAACAUUUAUUUUUAUUUGAUCCAUUUAUUUCACACUUUUUAUGAUGCAUUCCUUCCCUGUAAAUCUGAUGGUGCUUGUUUAUCAGCCCUGCCUGAUACCAAAGAGGUACAUGUGAAUAUAGCCAUUGCUUUCUUAAUAGACUGCAAGAUAAAGUUACCUUUAGUAUCCAGUGGCUAGUACCAAUGCUGUACAUAGCAUAAUAUCCUUAUUCUUUACAUUACCUUCUAUGUGGUGUGACUUUUCUUUUUCAUUGUAAGGGCCAGGGGGAACUCUUCUGUUUGAGGGUGAAAAAGAUCAUUUGAUUCCCUCCACUUCCCACUUCCUUCUGGAGAGCGACUUUUUUGUUGUUGCUGGCCGAAUGAUUGGUCAUUCAUUCUUACAUGAUGGGCCAUGUCUCGGUGGACUGAGCCUGGCAAUCCUACAUGUGCUCUUUAAUGGUUCCCCAGAAGAAGCCACAAUAGAUAUUAAGGACUGUGCUGACCUUGAUAUCUGUGAGACAAUUAAGUUGGUAUGAUUACUUUUUUUCCAAAACAUUUUAAUGAUAUGUGAGAUAGCUAAAAUACUAUCUAUGGUGGCCCUGUUUUUAUUUAACCUUUAUUUUAACAGAAAAAGUCCCAUUGUGACACCAUAUUUUUUUACAAGGAGGUCCUGAGAGCUCAAUGCACUGCAACUUAAAGGGAUACUUUGUAGUACCCUCACCGCCUGAUGAGGGAAGAUAAAAGUAUAAAUAAUACACAGGACACGGAGCCGCUGCUGCUUCAAUCAUCAGAGUCUGUGUAUUGUUUUUUAACCAUUUAAAACAGUUCAAAUACAUUUAUAUGUCAAUAAAUGACAGAGCAUCACUUCA
ensembl:lncRNA